UCCGGUGGCGAUGCGCUUAGGGGAAACACCCGUACCCAUCCCGAACACGAUGGUUAAGACCUAAGCGGCCGAUGGUACUAUGCUGGAGACGGCAUGGGAGAGCAGGUGG
rnacentral:rRNA from 1 species